GAUGAACGCUGGCGGCGUGCCUAAUACAUGCAAGUCGAGCGAACAGACGAGGAGCUUGCUCCUCUGACGUUAGCGGCGGACGGGUGAGUAACACGUGGAUAACCUACCUAUAAGACUGGGAUAACUUCGGGAAACCGGAGCUAAUACCGGAUAAUAUAUUGAACCGCAUGGUUCAAUAGUGAAAGACGGUUUUGCUGUCACUUAUAGGUGGAUCCGCGCCGCAUUAGCUAGUUGGUAAGGUAACGGCUUACCAAGGCAACGAUGCGUAGCCGACCUGAGAGGGUGAUCGGACACACUGGAACUGAGAAACGGUCCAGACUCCUACGGGAGGCAGCAGUAGGGAAUCUUCCGCAAUGGGCGAAAGCCUGACGGAGCAACGCCGCGUGAGUGAUGAAGGUCUUCGGAUCGUAAAACUCUGUUAUUAGGGAAGAGCAAAUGUGUAAGUAACUAUGCACGUCUUGACGGUACCUAAUCAGAAAGCCACGGCUAACUACGUG
rnacentral:rRNA from 1 species